UGCCAAACGCUCUUCUCCUGCUGCCCUGGGUUUGCUGGGCUGCGCUGCCCAGGGAAAGCCAGCCCACCCCUUGCCCCAAGACAGAGGCGCGAGUGCCGGAGGAAGAGGAGGAGAGAGGCUGGGAAGGAAAGGACUUGGAGGCACCCGAAAACAACAAUAAGAACAGCCUCCUCCUCCUCCUUCUUUUGGCCCUGGAAGGUGGGGGGGGGGGGGCGGGGGGGGGGGGAGGAGCCCAGGCAAAACGGCAUGGGCCUACCAAGGAAGCCUUGAGAGCCCAGCCGAGAAGGGCAGGCAGUUGGGGCUUCUGGCAGGACAGAUGUUGUUGGCAAUGUGAAAAAGGAGGCAGGAGACAGAUGACCACAGUAAGGAUGAAGAAGGGGAAAUGACUUCUGCUUCAAUGGUUGGACCAUCAUCAGCUAAGGAUAAUACUCAACCAAUUACCAAUUUUUGGUAGAUAUAGAUUCCUUUAGCUGCAAACGCGGGAACCGAGACUCCUAGACAGGAGAAAAGAGGCAUAACAUUCAACUUUUUAUUCCUUGGCGGGGAAGAUGAGAAGAAAGAAGAAAAGCAAGAGGAAGAAGAAAUAGAACAGGAGGAAAGAAAGCAGAAGGGCAGGAAGGCCCGUGACAAAAAGGAUAAAUUUUCCAAGCCAAGACUAAAACUUUAUACUGUUAAAUGUUCCAUUUGUUCAGUUAAAACAAAUGUUCAACAUACCUCACAUAUGUUCCAAACCUGACUGUAUUUAUUUUUUAAUUGAACAGUUGUUGUAAAGGAUUUCCCAGAUAUGUACAGCUCUACUGUAAACAUUACUUUUGUAUUACAUAAAAGCAGUCAUGUUUUGCUUCAUGAUGAGUAAAACCAAACAGACAGAACUUAUUAUAGGACUGACACCAAAAACAUGACUUACAGACAUGAGAUAGAACAACUUAACAAAAUGAAAAUGUAUAUAGUUGCUUUGUGCCUUUUACAGUUUACAGUCUAUAUGAUGUUUACAUGCUUUAUGCAAAAUAAAUGCUAAGUAUGCCAUCCUAGAUUAAAAAAAAAUAGGGUAGCAAGGAAAGGUGGCCUGAAAGUGUUUUUUAAAUAUUUCAGCUAGCAGCAUUUUUCUCAUUUAAAAGCUCAGAUUUCUUUUUAAUAUUUAUAUAUCUCUUCUGAGUUGUAAGAAAUAAUUUUUUGUUUGAAAAUACUACUUAAUUAUGAUUUUGUUUUAGGAAGUGAAAUUCUUUGUAUUCAGCACACAUGUUCAAAGGUGAUGGUACUGAGGGUUAGUCAUAAAUCAUUAACGUUUGCAACCAUGUCUCCCAAAUGAGGAAAACAUAUACAUUCACAUACUUUCCAAGACAGUGCUCCUGCUCUGAAAUUCCUCCCCCUUGCCCUGAGGACUCCCAGGCCCUCAGAUGUGGCAACUCGACCCACAAUUGAGGUGCCAGAUUAAGCAUCCAGUUUUGCAAUGUAAAAAGCAUAAUUUCAGAUGCUGUUCAGUGGCAAAAGCAUCCAACCAGACUAUUUGUUAUUCGGAAGACCUGCGACUGGAUCUUCCAGUUAUUCCUUUGGAUUACAUCAAGCCACAAGACUGACAAAUAGUUUCAUUUAAAGAUCUUCAGUGCUGCCGCAACCUUUUUAUGAUCCACGCUCAAAACAAGGCAGCAGAUCCUAUCUGAUCU